UACAGAGGUCCCGAGCGUUGUUCGGAUUCAUUGGGCGUAAAGGGUGCGUAGGCGGUUUGCUAAGUUUGAUGUGAAAGCCCGGGCUUAACCCUGGAAUGGCAUUGAAUACUGGCGAACUAGAGUACUGGAGAGGAAACUGGAAUUUACGGUGUAGCAGUGAAAUGCGUAGAGAUCGUAAGGAAGACCAGUGGCGAAGGCGAGUUUCUGGACAGUUACUGACGCUGAGGCACGAAGGCCAGGGGAGCAAACGGG
rnacentral:rRNA from 1 species